UAAUACGUAGGUGGCAAGCGUUGUCCGGAUUUACUGGGCGUAAAGGGCGCGCAGGUGGCUCAUCAAGUCUGGGGUGAAAUCUCCCGGCUCAACCGGGAGGGGUCUCUGGAUACUGAUGGGCUAGAGGGAAGCAGAGGAGAGCGGAAUUCCCGGUGUAGCGGUGAUAUGCGUAGAUAUCGGGAGGAACACCAGUGGCGAAGGCGGCUCUCUGGGCUUUUCCUGACGCUGAGGCGCGAAAGCGUGGGGAGCAAACCGGAUUAGAUACCCGGGUAGUCCACGCCGUAAACGUUGGACACUAGGUGUGGGGGGUAUUGACCCCCUCCGUGCCGCAGCUAACGCAUUAAGUGUCCCGCCUGGGGAGUACGACCGCAAGGUUA
rnacentral:rRNA from 1 species